rnacentral:rRNA from 1 species
GUUGCUGACUUCCGCUUUCGGAUUCGUGUCCAGUGGGAUAAGCGUGCCAAAGUCGCUAGAACGAAGUGGUGGAAGCUCAAGGGGGAGGUAGCUCAGGCGUUCAAGGAGAGGGUCAUUAAGGAGGGCCCGUGGGAGGAAGGAGGGGAUGCGGACAAUGUGUGGAUGAAGAUGGCGACUUGCAUUCGUAAGGUGGCCUCGGAGGAGUUUGGAGUGUCCAGGGGAAGGAGAAGCGAAGAUAAGGAUACCUGGUGGUGGAAUGAUGAUGUCCAGAAGGCGAUUAAAGAGAAGAAAGAUUGCUUCAGACGCCUAUACCUGGAUAGGAGUGCAGACAACAUAGAGAAGUACAAGAUGGCGAAGAAGGCCGCAGAGCGAGCUGUUGGUGAAGCCAGGGGUCGGGCUUAUGAGGACCUCUACCAACGGUUAGGCACGAAGGAAGGCGAAAGGGACAUCUAUAAGAUGGCCAAGAUCCGAGAGAGGAAGACGAGGGAUAUUGGCCAAGUCAAAUGCAUCAAGGACGGAGCAGGCCAACUCUUGGUGAAGGACGAGGAGAUUAAGUAUAGAUGGCGGGAGUACUUCGACAAGCUGUUCAAUGGGGAGAAUGAGAGUUCUACCAUUGAACUGGACGACUCCUUUGAU